UACGGAGGGUGCAAGCGUUGCUCGGAAUCACUGGGCGUAAAGUGUACGCAGGCGGCUAUGUAUGUCGGGUGUGAAAGCCCCGGGCUCAACCCGGGAAUUGCAUUCGAGACUGCAUGGCUUGAGUUCGAGAGAGGGUGGUGGAAUUCCUGGUGUAGAGGUGAAAUUCGUUGAUAUCAGGAGGAACAUCGGCGGCGAAGGCGGCCACCUGGCUCGAUACUGACGCUCAUGUGCGAAAGCGUGGGUAGCAAACAGG
rnacentral:rRNA from 1 species